rnacentral:lncRNA from 1 species
CGCAACAGAAAACAGGCCCAAGCCCAGCGAGCCACCGCCCGACGGUUUAAGUGUGCCGCCCGGCGGUUUCCCAUAAUCCUCCAAACUGCCCGGCGGCAAUCGCCACCGCCCAGCGGUUUCCCUCAGAACCGCCCAGCGUCAAGCACCAUGCCUACUCCUCGCCCUAGACCGCCCGGCGGUUUAAGUGUGCCGCCGGGCGGUGCGUCGACUUUUCAAAUCUUCAUUUUUCUGCUCUUUACUUGAGUCAACGACCUGUAUCUUUAACUC